rfam:Bacillus galactosidilyticus strain PL133 scaffold000131, whole genome shotgun sequence.
UAUAAUAUUACAUUUGUACCGUAGACAGCAGGUGCUAGUAUCGACGCAUAUCUAGCUUAAUUUCCCGCCGAGGUUCUUGCGAUAAACUCAAUUAUUUGAAUUGAGGGCAAAAAACCUCCAUGUCUAUGUAUGGAGGUUUUUUGCUUCAUAU